rnacentral:ncRNA from 2 species
GCAGGCGCGAACUUUCCCACUCGAGACUUUCGGAGGAGGUAAUGACCAGUUCCAUUGGUGCCUUUUGGUACUGUGGAUAGGGGUACGGUUUUCCACCGUACCGAAACCUAGCAGAGGGCCAGUCUGGUGCCAGCAGCUGCGGUAAUUCCAGCUCUGCGAGUUUGCUCCCAUAUUGUUGCAGUUAAAACGCCCGUAGUCUGAAUUGGCCAGCAAUGGUCGUACGUAUUUUUACGUUCACUGUGAACAAAUCAGGACGCUUAGAGUAUGGCCACAUGAAUGACUCAGCGCAGUAUGAAGUCUUUGUUUUCUUCCGAAAACAAGCUCAAUGAGAGCCAUCGGGGGUAGAUCUAUCUCAUGACGAGUGGUGGAAUACUUUGACUCAUGAGAGAGAAGCUGAGGCGAAGGCGUCUACCUAGAGGGUUUCUGUCGAUCAAGGGCGAGAGUAGGAGUAUCCAACAGGAUUAGAGACCCUGGUAGUUCCUACCUUAAACGAUGCCGACAGGAGUUUGUCAUUUGUUAAUGGCAGAAUCUUUGGAGAAAUCAUAGUUCUUGGGCUCUGGGGGAACUACGACCGCAAGGCUGAAACUUGAAGGAAUUGACGGAAGGGCACACCAGGGGUGGAGCCUGUGGCUUAAUUUGAAUCAACACGGGGAAACUUACCAGGACCAGAUGUUUUUUAUGACUGACAGGCUUCGGGUCUUUCAGGAUAUUGUUUUUGGUGGUGCAUGGCCGUUGGUGGUGCGUGGGUUGACCUGUCUAGCGUUGAUUCAGCUAACGAGCGAGAUUAUCGCCAAUUAUUUACUUUGCCGAAGUCCUUCGGUUAAAGUUCUAAUUGGGACUCCCUGCGAUUUUAGCAGGUGGAAGAGGGUAGCAAUAACAGGUCCGUGAUGCCCUUUAGAUG